ACUGCCAAAGAGUAUCUCUGAUAGAGUAAGUGGCGUAGUGAGGUUUGCAUGGUGGAACAAAAGGGAGUAGAUAGAACAGAAGAAUCGGUCAAGUUUGAAAAGGGUUUACUGUUGACUAGGGGUUUAUUGAGCGAAACCUCGGUCAAAAUGAUCUCUCGAUGAACAAAGUGGAUGGGUUAGUGGGGCUACCUAGAAAUCAAGCUGGUUGAAGAAGACAUCGG
rnacentral:lncRNA from 1 species